rnacentral:rRNA from 1 species
ACCGAUAGUGAACCAGUACCGUGAGGGAAAGGCGAAAAGAACCCCUGUGAGGGGAGUGAAAUAGAACCUGAAACCGUCUACGUACAAGCAGUGGGAGCCUCUUUUAUGGGGUGACCGCGUACCUUUUGUAUAAUGGGUCAGCGACUUAAUGUAAGUAGCCAGGUUAACCGCAUAGGGGAGCCGUAGGGAAACCGAGUCUUAACU